UGCUUCUUCUUCUCGAAGGGUUUUACUUUUUCGUUUUUAUUUUUACCUUUGUUUUUUUGUUACAAUUGCGAAAAAAUGGAAAAACUGGUUUUGUUCAAUAAUCAAAUUCCACUAAUCGGGUGGACUUCCCUCUCCUAUAUUUUUUUAGAAAGGAAGUCAUUAGAGUUUUUUCUCUGGCAACGGUAGUUCCGUUGUCCAACUAUCCGUUUAGAAUCUUUUGGCUUUUGACUUUUUGGCUUUUUAUCCGAUAACUUUCGUUUUUAUGGCAAUGUUUGGCCAGCUUUAGUUUUGACACCGUCCGUUUCUCUUUACGGUGGUGGUCGGCUAGCGUCUGGCAUCUGUCGGCUUUUACAAAGGCGGUUGACUGGCUUAUAUCUAGAGUUUCAUCGUCCUUCUAUUGUGUCUCGUCUAGCUUCUAAUCGGAUUUUUUCCGGUUUAAAUUUAUCUUUUCGUUCUUUAGUUUUCUUUACAUUUGGUUUGAUUGGCCCUCUUGU